GAUGAACGCUGGCGGCGUGCUUAACACAUGCAAGUCGAACGAAGCACUUUUACAGAUUUCUUCGGAUUGAAAUUUUAGUGACUGAGUGGCGGACGGGUGAGUAACGCGUGGGUAACCUGCCUCACACAGGGGGAUAACAGUUGGAAACGGCUGCUAAUACCGCAUAAGCGCACAGUACCGCAUGGUACGGUGUGAAAAACUCCGGUGGUGUGAGAUGGACCCGCGUCUGAUUAGCUAGUUGGCAGGGCAACGGCCUACCAAGGCGACGAUCAGUAGCCGACCUGAGAGGGGGACCGGCCACAUUGGGACUGAGACACGGCCCAAACUCCUACGGGAGGCAGCAGUGGGGAAUAUUGCACAAUGGGGGAAACCCUGAUGCAGCGACGCCGCGUGAGCGAAGAAGUAUUUCGGUAUGUAAAGCUCUAUCAGCAGGGAAGAAGAAAUGACGGUACCUGACUAAGAAGCACCGGCUAAAUACGUGCCAGCAGCCGCAGUAA
rnacentral:rRNA from 1 species